ensembl:lncRNA
AUUCACUGCUUAUGGAAAUGACAAGCUUUCGUGUGUCUUUUGAUUUUGUAGCUUUGUGAAGCAUAAUACAAUGUCUAUUUCUUUUUUUUCUUUCUUUUUUCUUUUUUUAUUAUUAUUUUUUACAUCUUUAUUGGAGUAUAAUUGCUUUACAAUGGUGUGUUAGUUUCUGCUUUAUAACAAAGUGAAUCAGUUAUACAUAUACAUUUGUUCCCAUAUCUCUUCCUUCUUGCGUCUCCCUCCCUCCCACCCUCCGUAUCCCACCCCUCCAGGCGGUCACAAAGCACCGAGCUGAUCUCCCUGUGCUACGCGGCUUACAAUGUCUCUAUUUCUGUGAUCGGUUGCAGAGUACACACCACGGAAAUCUUCGUGCGCCCCUUUGAAAGGAGCGAGAGCGAGACCCCAUCUCUUUACGGAAACUUCGGGUCACCACUUCCGAGAACCUCUUGCUGGGCAUCUUGGCCUUUGGCGAGAGGUCUGCAAACGGCGCCCCUAGCCAGCGUCUGCGUCUGGGUGAAAACUACAUUACCCAGAUGUCUCUGCGCUGCGCGUCUGCGGCGCUGGGCCAAUGAAGGCCGAGGAGAAGGACGCUCUCAUACUUUGCGAAACCUGUCAAGGAGGGACUUCCGGCGUUCUCCCGGCGGCGGUCAUUUUGGUGACCCUGGGUCGGUCGGCUUGAUCCGGUUGUGCAGCUCUUGGUCCGGCCCGAGGUUUCCAUGGCUUCAGAAACACUUAAUGAGCAAUGCAUAGGUAAGUAAAGAUUGGCUCAGGCCCUCACUCUCCCCAUCUCCCACUCAUGGUCUCCAGGAUGUGUCCUGGGACCCCCUGCCUGCCGCUCUACUGUUGUCACUGGUUCUGAGGCCUCUCCUCAGACUCAAGACCCUGAAUCCAGGCCAGGGGUUAUAUGGAGGGGUCCCUGGUUUCUGGCCACUAAUAAUCUGUCCUGUAGAAGGUAUUAAAUGUAUGGGAAUCACCAUGUGCAAACGCUUAGAGGUGAGACUGAGUGGCAACCGCAGUUCUCCAUUACGUCUUAUGGGAUCAGAGAGCCAGGGUGCAGGAGUCAGGCCUGAAAUGGCAGGCUGAGGAACUGUGCCUCUAUUCUGGGGACACUGGGAGCCAUGUAAGUUUUGGAGUAGAAGAGGGUCUGAAUCAGGUCUAAACAGACUUUCUCUGAUCGCAGAGUAGAGAGCAGACAGUAGGAGUGAGGGAGGCUUCUGCAGUACUCUAGAUGAGUGUGGUGACAGCUGGACCAGGUUGGUGGCUGGAUCAGGGUAGUGGCUGUGGAUGGGGGUUUGUGGAUUUGUUUUUAAAGCAGGUCCAACAAAACUUUCUGACUGGAGAGGGCAGUUGUCUAAGUUUUGGCCUUUGCAGCUGGAAGGAAGGAGAUGCCAUUAACUGGAAUGGGGAAAUCACUUGUAGGCGUAAUUUUCAAGAGGGAAUAUUAGGAGUUAGAUUUUGGCCAUGUUGAGUCUGAGAAGCAGAGACCCCCCCCCCCCCCCCCCCCGCCCAAGUGGAGGCAUUGAGUGGAAAGCUGGACACAGGUCUGGAUUUCAGGGGAAGAAAUCAGGUUGGAGACACCACAAGCUGGUGGCCUGUGUGUGGACUGGGGUGGAGCUGUGAGUCAUUUAGUAGGUGGAGUCUUCAGAUCAUGGUGACAGUGUUGUUAGGGGACAAGGAAGAGGAGGGCCAGAUUGGAGGACUGGGCCUCUCUCUUGAGCACCUGAAUGGGGCUGGUGCACAUCACAAAGGCAGAUGAGGGAGAGUAGUGGCCGUGCGGGAGGAGGUAGGUGUGGGGGAGAGGUGGGUCUGGUAGGGCACCAAGGCUUCCAAGGGGUAGUGCACAUGAUGUGGGUGUGGGAGCAUAGCAGUAAUGGAGGUGAGAUGGCAGUGAGGCCGAGGCCUACUCCCCCCUCUAAAAGCACGCUAGAGUUUUGUGACCUUUGGUGAGGCCUGCAGGGUUUCACUUAGGCUGGCAGAUAAGCUCAGGGGCAAAUGGGUCAGCUGGGAGAGUAGCUAGGCCUGGGCUGGGGGAUGGGAAGUUCUGGGUUUUGAAUGAGGCUUGACUGGAAAGAGGAAGGCUGAGACUGGUGAAGGGACAGCAUGCGUAACAGCAGUAAAGAGAAUUUAAAAAGUAUGUGGCACCUGCAUGUGGCUCUAGGUGGCUGAAGCUGAAGCAAGGAAAGGGCAUGGUGGAGAGGCCUUUAAAGCAGGGCUGGGGCUUCCCCUGCCAGCGUGGGCCAUCAGGGCUCUGGGGCAGGGUGGAUCGUAACUGCGUUUGGCAAGCACUCUCCAGAUGCCUUGUGCAGAGUGGCAUGUGGGGAGGCCAGGGAGAUGCCUUUGGUGUGGGCUGAGGUGGAGGAGGUGGCAGUGUUGGUGGGGGGUUGGAAAUGUGGGGGAGGUGUUGUCAGUGGAGUGGUGUGCUCAGUGGGGAGAGUGAGAACUGAAGGUCCCAGGGACUUGCUCCCAGCAGCUUAAAGGAAGAAUACUGAGCCCAUGGUUGGUGUGUCUGGGAGGCAUGAUCUGGGAACCCUUGCGGAACUUGCUGGCAAGAGUGGAGGUGGAGACUUUCAUGCCAUACCCAGUGCUUGGAUGGCAUUUAUUUGCCCACAUGCCUAUCGUGGAUGUGGGAUGGCACAUUGAUCAGUAGGAAAGAGAAUGGUGGCACCAGUGGCAUCUGGGCCUCGUAUAUCCUGAGUUUUGGAGCUGGAGAGGAGUGGGGGCAGGGAGUGGAUGUCUGGGGGACUAACUGAGGGUCCUGGUGAGAGAGGCUGCUCAGGGACGUUGCCUUCCCCAUCAUGGUAGGGCACUGUAACCUUUGAGGAUGUGGCUGUGGACUUGUCUCAGGAGGAGUGGGAGCUUCUUGAUGGGACUCAGAGACUCCUGUACCAUGAUGUGACGUUGGAGAAUUUUGCACUUGUAGCCUCACUGGGUAAGUCCCUCACACUCAGCCAAGUGUCUUUGACUGGGUUCUUUCCUUCCUUGUUUCUCCAGGGGCCACUCUUUCCUUCACACAGCCAGGCUGUGGACAUUGCUCCCUUCCUGUGUUUUCUUUCAUAGGUGCUGUGGGUGCCAGGCUUGGCUGAGUGUACUUUCCCAUCCUCUCCCAAGCAACCCUUCAGCAUCCCUGAAGCCUUUCAGGGAAGGAUAUGGGAGUAGGAAGUCUGCAAUGAAACCAGUGGAUCCCAAAGACUUGGUCACCCUGGCAGAGUGACUGUCCAGAUAUAUUGCAACUCUCUGCCCCAGGUCUGUCCCCUUCCCUCCAGCUGGCAUUUCCUCAUGCCUGACUGUGC